GCGCAGCAGGCGCGAAUCCUUCGCAAUGUGCGAAAGCAUGACGAGGCGACGCCGCGUGGAAGAUGAGGCCCUGCGGGGUGUAAAUUCCUUUAUAGGGGAAGAACUUUUGUGACUGUACCCUAUGAAUAAGGAGCUACUAAUCACGUGCCAGCAGUAGCGGUAAUACGUGAGCUCCGAGCGUUAUCCGGAUUUACUGGGCUAAAGCGUUCGUAGGCGCUCUGUUAAGUUUUCUGUUAAAUCCCUAAGGGCCCAACCUUAGAGCUGCAGAAAAACUGGCAGGGUAGAGGAUGUCAGGGGCUGAUGGAGCUCUCGGUGUAGAGGUGGAAUUCG
rnacentral:rRNA from 1 species